rnacentral:rRNA from 1 species
AGCGAACGUUUGCGGCGGGCUUAACACAUGCAAGUCGAACGAGAAUCCCUUCGGGGAGGAAAGUGGCGCACGGGUGCGUAACACGUGGAUAACCAACCCAUUGGUUUGGGACAACACCGGGAAACUGGUGCUAAUACCAGAUGUGUCGCAGCUGUCUUCAGGCGGUUGCGAGAAAGGCCCGCAAGGGUCGCCAACGGACGGGUCCGCGUCCCAUCAGCUAGUUGGUGAGGUAAUGGCUCACCAAGGCAAAGACGGGUAGCUGGUCUGAGAGGAUGAUCAGCCACACUGGAACUGAGACACGGUCCAGACUCCUACGGGAGGCAGCAGUGGGGAAUAUUGCGCAAUGGGCGAAAGCCUGACGCAGCCACGCCGCGUGAGCGAUGAAGGUCUUCGGAUCGUAAAGCUCUGUGGGGGGAGAAGAAGAAAGCCGGUGAAGAGCCGGCCCUGACGGUAUCCCCUUAGCAAGCACCGGCUAACUCCGUGCCAGCAGCCGCGGUAAAGUAC